UGAGUAACACGUGGGUAACCUGCCCAUCAGAAGGGGAUAACACUUGGAAACAGGUGCUAAUACCGUAUAACAAUCGAAACCGCAUGGUUUUGAUUUGAAAGGCGCUUUCGGGUGUCGCUGAUGGAUGGACCCGCGGUGCAUUACCUACCUGGGGAGGGAACGGCUCACCAAGGCCACAAUGCAUAGCCGACCUGAGAGGGUGAUCGGCCACGUUGGGACUGAGACACGGACCAAACUCCUACUGUAGGCACCAGAACGGAAUCUUCCGCUAUGGACCAAGGUCUGACCGACCAACGCCGCAUGAGUGAACAAUGUUUUCGGAUCGUAAAACUCUGAUGUGAGAAAGGAACAAGGAUGACAGUAACUGUUCAUCCCUUGACCGCAUCUAACCAGAAAGCCACGGCUAACUACGUGCCAUCAGCCGCGGGAAUACGCACGCGGCGAGCGUUGUCCGGAGUUAUUGGUGGUAAAGUGAGCGCAGGCGGCUUCUUAAGUCUGAUGUGAAAUCCCCCGGCUCAACCGGGGAGGGUCAUUGGAAACUGGGAUACUUGACUGCAUAACAAGACACUGGAAUUCCAUGUGAAGCGAUGAAAUGCUUAGAUAUAUGGAUGAACACCUAUGUCUACGGCUUUUCUCUGUUCUGUAACUGACGCUGACGCUCG
rnacentral:rRNA from 1 species